GGGCGUAGCAAUACGUCAGUGGCAGACGGGUGAGUAACACGUGGGAACGUACCUUUUGGUUCGGAACAACUGAGGGAAACUUCAGCUAAUACCGAAUAAGCACUUACGGGGAAAGAUUUAUUGCCGAAAGAUCGGCCCGCGUCUGAUUAGCUAGUUGGUAGGGUAAUGGCCUACCAAGGCGACGAUCAGUAGCUGGUCUGAGAGGAUGAUCAGCCACACUGGGACUGAGACACGGCCCAGACUCC
rnacentral:rRNA from 1 species